GAAUAGUUGAAUAUAAGUAUUGUAAAGGUACAAAAAGUCAGGUGUGAUGGAUUGCGUACAAACCAAUAAGGUGUCAGAAUGGUACAUGUUUAUACUUCUCAUCCAGCCACAAUCAAAUUCAGUCAAUCCAGAUGGCAUAAUUUAUCUGGAUAUAUAUAUUUUUUUAUUUGAACGAUGACAAGCCGGAACGAAAACAAGC